rnacentral:rRNA from 1 species
AGCUCCAAUAGCGUAUAUUAAAGUUGUUGCAGUUAAAAAGCUCGUAGUUGGAUUUGUGGUUGGAUAGAUCGGUCCGACACAAUGUGUGGGUACUUGAUUUGUCCGUCCAUCCUUGGGUGGAUGCUGUGUGGCAUUAAGUUGUCGUGCAGUGGAUGCCCAUCGUUUACUGUGAAAAAAUUAGAGUGUUCAAAGCAGGCUUAGGCCGAUGAAUAUAUUAGCAUGGAAUAAUGAGAUAGGACCUUGGUACUAUUUUGUUGGUUUGCGCACCGAGGUAAUGAUUAACAGGGACAGUUGGGGGUAUUCGUAUUCCAUUGUCAGAGGUGAAAUUCUUGGAUUUUUGGAAGACGAACUACUGCGAAAGCAUUUACCAAGGAUGUUUUCAUUAAUCAAGAACGAAAGU